CACAAGCGGUGGAGCAUGUGGUUUAAUCGAAGCAACGCGAAGUAACCUUACCAGGUCUUGACAUCCCGAUGCUAUUUCUAGAGAUAGAAAGUUACUUCGGUACAUCGGUGACAGGUGGUGCAUGGUUGUCGUCAGCUCGUGUCGUGAGAUGUUGGGUUAAGUCCCGCAACGAGCGCAACCCCUAUUGUUAGUUGCCAUCAUUCAGUUGGGCACUCUAGCGAGACUGCCGGUAAUAAACCGGAGGAAGGUGGGAUGACGUCAAAUCAUCAUGCCCCUUAUGACCUGGGCUACACACGUGCUACAAUGGUUGGUACAACGAGUUGCGAGUCGGUGACGGCGAGCUAAUCUCUUAAAGCCAAUCUCAGUUCGGACUGUAGGCUGCAACUCGCCUACAUGAAGUCGGAAUCGCUAGUAAUCGCGGAUCAGCACGCCGCGGUGAAUACGUUCCCGGGCCUU
rnacentral:rRNA from 1 species